UAGGGAAUCUUCGGCAAUGGACGAAAGUCUGACCGAGCAACGCCGCGUGAGUGAAGAAGGUUUUCGGAUCGUAAAACUCUGUUGUUAGAGAAGAACAAGGACGUUAGUAACUGAACGUCCCCUGACGGUAUCUAACCAGAAAGCCACGGCUAACUACGUGCCAGCAGCCGCGGUAAUACGUAGGUGGCAAGCGUUGUCCGGAUUUAUUGGGCGUAAAGCGAGCGCAGGCGGUUUCUUAAGUCUGCUGUGAAAGCCCCCGGCUCAACCGGGGAGGGUCAUUGGAAACUGGGAGACUUGAGUGCAGAAGAGGAGAGUGGAAUUCCAUGUGUAGCGGUGAAAUGCGUAGAUAUAUGGAGGAACACCAGUGGCGAAGGCGGCUCUCUGGUCUGUAACGGACGCUGAGGCUCGAAAGCGUGGGGAGCAAACAGG
rnacentral:rRNA from 1 species